rnacentral:rRNA from 1 species
AUUGAACGCUGGCGGCAUGCCUUACACAUGCAAGUCGAACGGCAUCGCGGGAAAGCUUGCUUUCCUGGCGGCGAGUGGCGAACGGGUGAGUAACACAUCGGAACGUACCGGCUAGUGGGGGAUAACCCGUCGAAAGACGGGCUAAUACCGCAUACGCUCUUCGGAGGAAGGCAGGGGACCUUUGGGCCUUGCGCUAGCCGAGCGGCCGAUGUCCGAUUAGCUAGUUGGUGGGGUAAAGGCCUACCAAGGCGACGAUCGGUAGCGGGUCUGAGAGGACGAUCCGCCACACUGGGACUGAGACACGGCCCAGACUCCUACGGGAGGCAGCAGUGGGGAAUCUUGGACAAUGGGGGCAACCCUGAUCCAGCAAUGCCGCGUGGGUGAAGAAGGCCUUCGGGUUGUAAAGCCCUUUCGGCAGGGAAGAAAUCGGCGGGGCGAAUAACCCUGCUGGAUGACGGUACCUGCAGAAGAAGCACCGGCGAACUACGU